rnacentral:lncRNA from 1 species
CACGAUUUGCAGAAAUUUUCUAAUUUCCAAGCAUUCAUUAAGACAUCACGAGUCAAGAACCACGAAAAGGGGGAGGAAAAUAAAAAAGAAUAGAUUACAACAUGGUACUAAGCCGAAGACAUCUUAGAUCGACAACAAAUCAGACCUGCCGGAGCACUCCUUGUGAGGGUUAUUUCUUGUUAUUCCCUUUAUUUUUCGAGUCUGUAGCUGCUGUUCCGCCAGCGGCAGCCUGAGCUGCCUUCCUUGCUGCCUUCUCUUCCAGCGCCUUCUUAUCCCUUCAGACAGAACAUAAAAUUUCAGGAUCAGACGAUUUUGAGAAAAAGAAGAAAAAGAUUGUCCCAACUUCCCUGCAAUGAGUAAAAUUAAUCUAUCCGUUUAGAACUUCAAAAUUAGUAAAUUAAGCUUGACUUUUUCCAGCAAUAAUCAUCUUACUCUUCAAUAAAUGCUUUUGCCCCCCACUUUUUUUUUUUCAUUCCUAAAGCUUUUAUUCUAUCGCUCAUCUAAUUUUACAUGCACAGUAUAUUCUAAACGAACAAUAGUAUAAGGGAGAAAAUUUAAACCACCUGAUCAAAAGCUUUUGUAGAAAAGCAUAUAUAAUCAAAAUUAAAAGUGUACAAGGACAACAAUAUCCACGGUACCAACACUUUGUAGUAGUAUAAUCGCAUUUGCCCCUCACACAAAUCAUCAAAGAAAUAUUUUUCUUUAAAAAAAAAAAUAGAACUUUAAGAUACAAUAAUAAACAAUUAGACGAAUAUAAUACUAAAUAAACUGAAAAAGAGGGGAGUUUAAAAAAAAAAAAAAAAAAAAAAAAAAAAAAAAAAAAAAAAAAAAAAAAAAAAAAAANAC